GUGGUUGUGGCUCAGUGGUAGAGUGCUUGCCUAGCACAUGCGAGGCACUGGGUUCAAUCCUCAGCACCACA
rnacentral:tRNA from 1 species